CAGUCGCCGCGGUAAUACGUAGGUCCCGAGCGUUGUCCGGAUUUAUUGGGCGUAAAGCGAGCGCAGGCGGUUAGAUAAGUCUGAAGUUAAAGGCUGUGGCUUAACCAUAGUACGCUUUGGAAACUGUUUAACUUGAGUGCAAGAGGGGAGAGUGGAAUUCCAUGUGUAGCGGUGAAAUGCGUAGAUAUAUGGAGGAACACCGGUGGCGAAAGCGGCUCUCUGGCUUGUAACUGACGCUGAGGCUCGAAAGCGUGGGGAGCAAACAGGAUUAGAUACCCGAGUAGUCCCUGUCUCUUAUACA
rnacentral:rRNA from 1 species